GUAGGAAGAAGGGGGCAGGACACGUCCCAGUCUUGCGCCAACAAAAACCUUUGGCAAUUGGGACGACAGGCUUUCCUCGAAGAAUUUGACUGAGUAAGACGUGAUGUACAAAUCGUUUGAAAGUAACCAACUAAUAAAAACGCGACGAUUAACACUUCGUUCAUGUUUGUGCGAUGGAGUCGUGAAGGACAAGUGACCGACGGCUUUUACAGAAGACUGAAGUUUGCUUUUCAGCCUCAAAGGCGUCUUUACAUAAAUAUCCUUUUCAAAUAACAUUUUAAAGGAAUGGAAACUGCCAUACCGUCCCGAUAUGUACAGUGAAGCAAAGUUGUUGUCGACGUUGAAGUACUCACGGCCUCUAUCUACUGCGUGAGACUACGGAGCAGCUGCCCAGGCCAGUGGAAUCAUGGAAUACCUGGUCCUCACAUUAGUUUUGGUCUCAAUUAUUGUUUUAAUAUUGCUAAACUUGUUGUCUAAAGAUGCUCAUCCAAACUUCACCAGGCUGUUUGGCAGUCAGGGCUACUGUAAACAUCCUUGACUGGAAGCUGGUGUUGGGUCUUGGGGCUUUCAGUCGGAUGUUUGCAGCAGCCACCUGCUAGUACCAUCUGUAGACACUGGACACUUCCGUACCACACUUGAUUCUGGGGAUAACUGGGCAUGUGAAAUGCACACCUACUGCUGUUGGCCUUCAUGUGACCAAACAUGAACAAGGGAUUGAACUGAUAUUGAAUGAAACGGACUGUCGGGACUGAACAAUGUGUCCAAAAACAGUUUCUAUUUGUCAUUUAAAAUCCCGUUGACAAAGUCUGUUAGUUCCAGAAUUGGCCGCUGUUGUUUACUGAUGCUGUGGCGCAGUGCAGGCAGCGAAUGGGACUGACGUAUUUCCGGGUCACGGAUAUACAGUAUUACUAGAUCUCAUUCCAAAAGACAUGCCUCCCUUUCCUGCGUUAAAAAAAAGUGCUUCAAUGUAAAGGACAAUUGACUGUAUCGGACGACACCCAGCCCCUAUUAGACCGUUCUAUCGAGGUUCCACUGUACUUCUAAUUUCUCUUCCAACUGCAAAUGAAUUUUAGCAUGUCAGAGAUGUGCUCAGAUUCAUUUUGCUUGUCAUGUCAGAAGUUUCACUUGUUGCUAGGCAUAACUUUAUGCUUUAUAACUUUAACUUUCCUUCUCCUCACUUCCUUGGGGGACAGGAAUAUUGCCCAACAUGGCAGAGAAAGGACAGACUUUUGUCUAAAUGAAGCGCCUCAACUCACUUCAACAUAGUUCCUUGGCAUCAAGAAGCUGCAAGAUGGCAGCAAAGCAAUACUCUUAUUGCUUUGACCUGAGUUUUUAAGUCAAUACCACUCCACUAAAGAAGAUUAAGUUCCUCCCAAAUAAUAUGUAGGGAUUCACUUUAAUGCAUAACCAGUUGUUUUUUUCACUGUGAGGCCAUCUGGUGGAUCCUGUAUGGCACUGCUGCUUUAUUUUCAAACCAUCAAAGCAAGCAAAAGUGAUAUCGGACCUAAAAUCGCAGACAAACUGGUGCGCAGAGUGAUUACAUGCCGUGACAAUUGUCUGUUCCCAGUGGGAUACAAGAACCCAGCUGAAACAAAAACAGCGGUUAAAGUUUGGGAUAUUUAUUGAUUUCUGCACCCAUUCGUAACACUGUGUGACACAGCACAGGACCACAGACAUGGAAGGAAGUAGGCGUGCCAUUAUUACAAACAACCUUACCUCCACGUCCAUCAUACCGUGCUGUGCUUCUUGCAGGAUUUGUUUAAACUGUUCUCAUCUUUCUUCAAUGGUCAUAGAACCAAGGAAACAGCUCGUUCAGACUACUGCGCACUAUCAGCUAAAACCUUGUUAUUUACGUAUUGCAGAAAAAAGGGAGUAAAUCAGGUAGAACCUCCUGGAUGUUUGUUCCCACAUUUGUUGAUGCAAAUUACAAGUUGACUUCUUACUUAAAAGCAAUGACCUCUGAGUUGCAGAAAGUGUAAACAUCCUACACUCUCGGCGUCCACCCCCUGGUGGCCGGGAGUGGGCCUGUUUGCACUAUCUGUCUCAAUAAUUCAGCUAAAUGUUGGUACGGUGACCGGUCACAUAUUAAACACAUGCUGUAUGUUAGAUGUAACUUCAUACUUUGUUUAUUCAGUGAAUAUAAUUUUAAGGCUAGGUUGACAAAUUGUGCUUUGUUUUACAUAAAUUGAGUAUUGAUUAAAACAAUUCUGAGAUUAAUAUCAGACUCAAUUUGUUUAUUAGUCUCCCCCACUAUUAAAUAUAUCACAGUUGUCUUUUGUGGGAUUUUACAUGCAUGAAAAUACACUUUAGUUGUUGCUUUUUAUCACUUCAAAUGUGGAAAAAGUACAAACAGUUGUUUAUAUGAUUUGUUGAGUUUUGUAUUCAAAAUAAAAUGGUUUGCAAUA